rnacentral:rRNA from 1 species
GAUGAACGCUAGCUACAGGCUUAACACAUGCAAGUCGAGGGGCAGCAUUUUUAUAGCAAUAUAAAAGAUGGCGACCGGCGCACGGGUGAGUAGCACGUAUCCAACCUGCCGAUAACUCGGGGAUAACCCUUCGAAAGAAGGCCUAAUACCCGAUGGCAUAUCCCUUCCGCCUGGUUGGGAUAUUAAAGAACUUCGGUUAUCGAUGGGGAUGCGUUCCAUUAGCUUGUUGGCGGGGUAACGGCCCACCAAGGCGACGAUCGGUAGCCGACCUGAGAGGGUGAUCGGCCACAUUGGGACUGAGACACGGCCCAG